rnacentral:rRNA from 1 species
AGAGUUUGAUCCUGGCUCAGAUUGAACGCUGGCGGCAUGCUUUACACAUGCAAGUCGAACGGUAACAGGCCGCAAGGUGCUGACGAGUGGCGAACGGGUGAGUAAUGUAUCGGAACGUGCCCAGUCGUGGGGGAUAACGCAGCGAAAGCUGCGCUAAUACCGCAUACGAUCUAUGGAUGAAAGCGGGGGACCGUAAGGCCUCGCGCGAUUGGAGCGGCCGAUAUCAGAUUAGGUAGUUGGUGGGGUAAAGGCUCACCAAGCCAACGAUCUGUAGCUGGUCUGAGAGGACGACCAGCCACACUGGGACUGAGACACGGCCCAGACUCCUACGGGAGGCAGCAGUGGGGAAUUUUGGACAAUGGGCGCAAGCC